rnacentral:rRNA from 1 species
UACAGAGACUGCAAGCGUUAUUCGGAUUCACUGGGCGUAAAGGGUGCGCAGGCGGUCGGGUGUGUCAGAUGUGAAAUCCCGAGGCUCAACCUCGGAACUGCGUCUGAAACUACUCGACUAGAGUACUGGAGAGGGAAACGGAAUUCACGGUGUAGCAGUGAAAUGCGUAGAUAUCGUGAGGAACACCAGAGGCGAAGGCGGUUUCCUGGACAGUUACUGACGCUCAGGCACGAAAGCAUGGGGAGCAAACGGG